AUCCAGGGGUCCGCGGACCCUUCUCCCAUAGAGUAGCUCAAAGGGGGAGAACCCAGUAGAUUCCUGGGGCACCUCUCUGUAUGCAAAUAGCAGAUGAGGCAGGAAUCGCUCCCAGUCUCUGCAAGUGUCAGUAAAAGUCCUCAGCAUCUGUUUGAGGGUGCCAUUAAAUCACUCACAGAGACCGUUAGUCUGAGGGUGGUAAGGUGAGCUAAGCAGCGGUUUGAUGCCGCACACCUUCCACAGUUGCUGGGUGAGCACAGCGGUAAACUGAGUUCCCUGGUCGGAGAGGAU